rnacentral:rRNA from 1 species
GCUGGCAGCUAGCUCUCUGCAACUCUCACAUGGUCAUUCACUGAAGCUAAGCAGGGCUAAGCAGGGUCAGUACCUGGGUGGGAAACAACAUGGGAAAGCUAGGUUGCUGCAAGAA